AGAGCUUGUGGCUUGAAGAAUCAAUGCCUACAUAGGAGGCGGUAUGGCUCAGUAAAUAUGGGACCACGUGGAGAUGGUUUAUUAUCUACAGCAUACCUAGUCAAGGAGCACCUGAGACAUUAGAUCCAUUUUAGAGGCUGCCAUCAAAGAAAACCCCUAGGGCAGCUUGCUUAAAAAAGCACAUGAAGGUAACAAAACUGUGUUGCUUUCCUCCUGAAUUGGUUGCAACCAUCAGAGUAUUUCUUCCAUGGAGAUUGGGUCACCUUUUCAUCUAGAGAAAAAAGUGGUCAGACAGGGACCAACCUAAGGUAUAAACCCAAAAAGGGCCUGCAGUGUUUCCACCAGAAGCUGCACAGCUGCAGCUAUGUAGCGUUUGCGUGAUCUCUAUUAAGGACAAGUUGAAGGACAAAAGAAUAAGCCUUUGUGCCUUUGAGAAACUGUUGAAAGUCUUUCUAAUGUCAAAGGCACUACAAUGUACAUCACUGUACACCACCAGCAAAUACCCUUCGGAUGCACCCUAGAAAUGUCUUUACAAAGUAAAACCUGCUUGGGAAUAUGGAAAUGAACCAGCAACAUCUAACAGAUCAAUGUCUGUAUUUUUAAAGUGGCAGGUACAAAUUUCCUUAGAUCUUAUUUGUUUUUAACAAGUUAAUGAAUUAGUGUCGACUUUCUUUUUUCAGAUUUGGCUUUGGGGGUCCCAGGAAAUUCUGCUUCUAAAGCAACCUGGUGCUACUUGAUGUUUAUGAUAGCAGUUCUCACUGGUUGUCACUGGCUGGUACCAGUGCCCAGCUUCCAGGAGGGACAGGUGCAUCUAAUUUAAUCGCACGAGCCCUUAAAAGCAGAAGACAGUCUCCAGCUGGAGGCAGGAGGGCUGUGGUCGAAGUUAGUGUGUGAGAAGGAGUCAGCGCACUGCGUAAAGCCGGGGAGGGCAACAGGAUGAGGAAUCCGGGCGGCCUACGGGGCUGAGAGUGGCUCCCGGCCAACGAUGGACGAGGAGAUGGGAACUCAGCCCUCCAACCUCAAGCAGGUACAUUCUGCCAAGAGCCUGAGUGAGCGCAGCAGCAGGUUCGACUCCCAGGGCCUUCAGAUAAGAGCCGGGCACGCUGACACUUGGGCCUGGGCCUGGCAAGACCUGGAGCAGAGAAGCCUGGAGGUGCCCUGUAUUCCGACCUACAGAACGAUCCCAAGUAUUAGACACCAACUGGGACUGCAGGAUGCACUCACAGCAGCUCCUCCAGGACGGAUGCUAUAAUCAUGUCCAUUUCACAGGAAUUUGGAGGAUCAGCCUGGAUGCUUAUUUUUGGAAGAAGCUGCUGGAGUGACUCCCAUGGUUGAGAAACACUGCCCCAAAUGACUGAGAAACUGUAUUGUAGUGGGGAGGGGGCAGAGCCCUCCCAGAACAAAGGGAAGGCAGCAUGCAACACCAGCAUCUGUGUGUGCCAGUGAGGUUCGACAACAAGAUAGCAUAACCUGCGUCCAUGAGCGCCGGCCUAUCUGUAACUGUCCACUCAGAAAUUAUAGAACACCUUAUAAGGGGGACAAAGGAAUCUAGAUGUGGCAGGAAACCUAACGGGGUAUAUAAGGCGACGCCCUGCUGCAUUUGGGACUCAGCCUUUGGAGAUGAAUCUGCUGAGCCAGUGCCGGCACAAAUAAACACUGCUUCCUGGCAAAAAAAAGGCCUCCGUGUCCUGUCUCCCUGUAUGUAAAUUGUAAAUCCUGCAACAGUACCUCAAGCCUAUUUAAAGAUUCUUAACUGCAAUAUGACAUCUCUGA